GACGAACGCUGGCGGCGUGCUUAACACAUGCAAGUCGAACGGAAAGGCCCUGCUUUUGUGGGGUGCUCGAGUGGCGAACGGGUGAGUAACACGUGAGUAACCUGCCCUUGACUUUGGGAUAACUUCAGGAAACUGGGGCUAAUACCGGAUAGGAGCUCCUGCUGCAUGGUGGGGGUUGGAAAGUUUCGGCGGUUGGGGAUGGACUCGCGGCUUAUCAGCUUGUUGGUGGGGUAGUGGCUUACCAAGGCUUUGACGGGUAGCCGGCCUGAGAGGGUGACCGGCCACAUGGGGACUGGGAUACGGCCCAGACCCCCACGGGGGGCAAGAGGGGGGAAUAUUGCACAAGGGGCGGAAGCCUGGUGCAGCAACGCCGGGUGGGGGAGGACGGCCUUCGGGUUGUAAACCGCUUUCGCCUGUGACGAAGGGUGGGUGCCGGUAAUGGGAAAAAAAGCACCGGCUAACUACGU
rnacentral:rRNA from 1 species